AUGGAGGAACGGAGGGGGAGAUUCCUGAACUUAACCACCCUUCGUCAAAGGGGGAGUGAGGUGGGUGGCCUGGCGCAAUUGUUUUGGACCUUGGCAGUCGGGUUAGGUUAUAAUGAUGCAGCACUGAAAGCCUUGUUUAAUGAUUGCCUGGAUGACCCUUUGCCUCAAUGGGAGAUGAAGGGGUUGGAGAUCCUGGACUUUUGGGGGUUUACCCAUUACCUGCGCCAUCGUGCUCAGUGGGAUGCAGCAACCACACCUGAGUCUCCAGACAAGAUGGCCGCCAGCCCAGCGCCACAGCACCAGAUGGCUGCCAGCCCAGCACCACAGCACAGGAUGAGCGCCAGCCGAGCACCAUUGCACAAGAUGGCCGAAUCUACACCUGUGUUGCCAGAUAAGAUGGCUGACUCAACGCCUGAGUCUUCCGUCAAGGUGCCACCGACUCGCCAUCAUAGAGGGCGGAGGAGGAGGAGACAGGCGUCUACCGUUCCUCAAAGCCCGGAGGACGUUCCCGAGCGGGCCGCUGCCGUCCAGGAGGACAUUCCCGAGCGGGCCGCUGCCGUCCAGGAGGACGUUCCCGAGCAGGCCGCUGCCGUCCCCGAGGCGGUGCCCGAGGCUAUUCCGGAGGUCGAGGCGGUGCCCGAUGCUGUUCCAGAGGCCGAGGUGGUGGCCGAUGCCGAGGCGGUGCCCGAGGCUGUUCCAGAGGCCGAGGCGGUGCCCGAUGCUGUUCCAGAGGCGGAGGUGGUGCCCGAUGCUGUUCCGGAGGCCGAGGCGGUGCCCGAUGCUGUUCCGGAGGUCGAGGCGGUGCCCGAUGCUGUUCCGGAGGCCGAGGCGGUGCCCGAUGCCGAGGCGGUGCCCNNNNNNNNNNNNNNNNNNNNNNCUCGGCAUCGGCCACCGCCUCGGCCUCCGGAACAGCAUCGGGCACCGCCUCGGCAUCGGUCUCCGCAGGCCGUCCAGAGCACCCUCACGUCUCCGCAGGCCGACCAGAGCACCCUCACGUCUCCGCAGGCCGACCAGAGCAGCCUCGGGCACCGCAUCGGGAACUGCCUCGGGCACCGCCUCGGCAUCAGGCACCGCCUCGGCCUCCGGAACAGCCUCGGGCACCGUCUCGGCAUCGGCCACCGCCUCGGCCUCCGGAACAGCAUCGGGCACCGCCUCGGCAUCGGUCUCCGCAGGCUGUCCAGAGCACCCUCACGUCUCCGCAGGCCGUCCAGAGCAACCUCACGUCUCCGCAGGCCGUCCAGAGCACCCUCACGUCUCUGCAGGCCUUCCAGAAUGCCUUCAUGUCUCUACAGGCCUUCCAGAAUGCCUUCAUGUCUCCGCAGGACCUCCGGGAUGGCAGGUUCCGCUCUGGUUGCUCAAAUGGCGGGUUCCUCCCUGGCCGUCGGCACAACCGGAACUGACGGAUCCUCCGUGGCCACCUGA
rnacentral:lncRNA from 12 species